rnacentral:rRNA from 1 species
GUGAGGAAUAUUGGUCAAUGGGCGAAAGCCUGAACCAGCCAUGUCGCGUGAAGGAUGAAGGUCCUAUGGAUUGUAAACUUCUUUUGCAGGAGGGUAAAGUGAGCUACGUGUAGUUCAUUGCAAGUACCCUGCGAAUAAGCAUCGGCUAACUCCGUGCCAGCAGCCGCGGUAAUACGGAGGAUGCGAGCGUUAUCCGGAAUUAUUGGGUUUAAAGGGUGCGUAGGCGGACUAAUUAGUCAGCGGUGAAAUGUUGCGGCUCAACCGUAAAACUGCCGUUGAAACUGUUAGUCUUGAGUGCGGUAGAGGUAGGCGGAAUGUGUGGUGUAGCGGUGAAAUGCUUAGAUAUCACACAGAACACCGAUUGCGUAGGCAGCUUACUGGAGCGCAACUGACGCUGAGGCACGAAAGCGUGGGGAUCGAACAGGAUUAGAAACCCCGGUAGUCC